rnacentral:rRNA from 1 species
AACGAACGCUGGCGGCAUGCCUAACACAUGCAAGUCGAACGAGACCUUCGGGUCUAGUGGCGCACGGGUGCGUAACGCGUGGGAACCUGCCCUUAAGUUCGGAAGAACUCCCCGGAAGGGGUGCUAAUACCGGAUAAUGUCUUCCGACCAAAGAUUUAUCGCCUUUGGGUGGGCCCCCGUUGGAUUAGCUAGUUGGUAGGGUAAAAGCCUACCAAGGCGACGAUCCAUAGCUGGUCUGAGAGGAUGCUCAGCCACACUGGGACUGAGACACGGCCCAGACUCCUACGGGAGGCAGCAGUGGGGAAUAUUGGACAAUGGGCGAAAGCCUGAUCCAGCAAUGCCGCGUGAGUGAUGAAGGCCUUAGGGUUGUAAAGCUCUUUUACCCGGGAUGAUAAUGACAGUACCGGGAGAAUAAGCUCCGGCUAACUCCGUG